rnacentral:rRNA from 1 species
UCACUUCUGGAUGGACCUGCGGUGCAUUAGCUUGUUGGUGGGGUAACGGCCUACCAAGGCGAUGAUGCAUAGCCGAGUUGAGAGACUGAUCGGCCACAAUGGGACUGAGACACGGCCCAUACUCCUACGGGAGGCAGCAGUAGGGAAUCUUCCACAAUGGGCGCAAGCCUGAUGGAGCAACACCGCGUGAGUGAAGAAGGGUUUCGGCUCGUAAAGCUCUGUUGUUAAAGAAGAACACGUAUGAGAGUAACUGUUCAUACGUUGACGGUAUUUAACCAGAAAGUCACGGCUAACUACGUGCCAGCAGCCGCGGUAAUACGUAGGUGGCAAGCGUUAUCCGGAUUUAUUGGGCGUAAAGAGAGUGCAGGCGGUUUUCUAAGUCUGAUGUGAAAGCCUUCGGCUUAACCGGAGAAGUGCAUCGGAAACUGGAUAACUUGAGUGCAGAAGAGGGUAGUGGAACUCCAUGUGUAGCGGUGGAAUGCGUAGAUAUAUGGAAGAACACCAGUGGCGAAGGCGGCUACCUGGUCUGCAACUGACGCUGAGACUCGAAAGCAUGGGUAGCGAACAGGAUUAGAUACCCUGGUAGUCCAUGCCGUAAACGAUGAGUGCUAGGUGUUGGAGGGUUUCCGCCCUUCAGUGCCGGAGCUAACGCAUUAAGCACUCCGCCUGGGGAGUACGACCGCAAGGUUGAAACUCAAAGGAAUUGACGGGGGCCCGCACAAGCGGUGGAGCAUGUGGUUUAAUUCGAAGCUACGCGAAGAACCUUACCAGGUCUUGACAUCUUGCGCCAACCCUAGAGAUAGGGCGUUUCCUUCGGGAACGCAAUGACAGGUGGUGCAUGGUCGUCGUC